GUGUCAGCAGCCGCGGUAAUACGUAGGGGGCAAGCGUUGUCCGGAAUUAUUGGGCGUAAAGCGCGCGCAGGCGGUCAUUUAAGUUUGGUGUAUAAUCCCGGGGCUCAACCCCGGGCCGCAUCGAAAACUGGGUGACUUGAGUGCGGGAGAGGAAAGUGGAAUUCCACGUGUAGCGGUGAAAUGCGUAGAUAUGUGGAGGAACACCAGUGGCGAAGGCGACUUUCUGGACCGUAACUGACGCUGAGGCGCGAAAGCGUGGGGAGCAAACAGGAUUAGAUACCCUUGUAGUCC
rnacentral:rRNA from 1 species